rnacentral:rRNA from 1 species
GACGAACGCUGGCGGCGUGCUUAACACAUGCAAGUCGAACGGAAAGGCCCCCAUCUUGGUGGGGGUGCUCGAGUGGCGAACGGGUGAGUAACACGUGGGUGAUCUGCCCUGUACUUCGGGAUAAGCUUGGGAAACUGGGUCUAAUACCGGAUAGGACCAUGGUUUAGUGUCUCAUGGUGGAAAGAUUAUUGUUUUGGUGCAGGAUGAGCUCGCGGCCUAUCAGCUUGUUGGUGGGGUAAUGGCCUACCAAGGCGUCGACGGGUAGCCGGCCUGAGAGGGUGGACGGCCACAUUGGGACUGAGAUACGGCCCAGACUCCUACGGGAGGCAGCAGUGGGGAAUAUUGCACAAUGGGCGCAAGCCUGAUGCAGCGACGCCGCGUGGGGGAUGACGGCCUUCGGGUUGUAAACUCCUUUCGUUAGGGACGAAGCCACGCUUUUGGGGUGUGGUGACGGUACCUUUGUGAAGAAGCACCGGCUAACUACGUG